rnacentral:lncRNA from 1 species
UUCAGUAUCAUCUGCCAUGCCAGCACGAUGCGAUGGAAUAAGAGAGGGUUACCGCAGUAACAAUUGUGUGGUAGUAAAAGGCAUCACGAACAUGAUCAGAGGAUGGUAACUCAUCGAUUGCGGCAAAAAGGGGGACGCCACGGUGGUGCUAUGAUUGGUGCACGUUUCGGUGAAAACCAAAAGCCUUUGUUUUCUCUUUUCUGAGGCAGCAGAAGGCUGUUUAUAUAUGCGGUUCCUGUUGAUCGUUUAUCUAAAUUGUUCCUUGGAGAGCGUGCAUUUGUGACUGAUGGCAUUUGUGUGUGGCGUCGUCUAUUUGAUCAGUUUUGAGAUGCAUGGAUUUCAAAAGAAUCCCAGUUGAGAGGUACACGGGCAACAACAAAUCGGCACAACAAAUGGGAAAAAUGCCCCCACACACUUCAGGAGUAACUGGAUCUUGCAGGAUG